rnacentral:rRNA from 1 species
UACGAAGGGGGCUAGCGUUGCUCGGAAUCACUGGGCGUAAAGCGCACGUAGGCGGGUCUUUAAGUCAGGGGUGAAAUCCCGGAGCUCAACUCCGGAACUGCCUUUGAUACUGCCGUGCUUGAGGACUGGAGAGGAGACUGGAAUUUACGGUGUAGCGGUGAAAUGCGUAGAUAUCGUAAGGAAGACCAGUGGCGAAGGCGGGUCUCUGGACAGUUCCUGACGCUGAGGCACGAAGGCCAGGGGAGCAAACGGG